GGAGAGAUGCCUUUUUGCCUUUCCUCCUGGAUUUUCCAUCACACGGCUAAUUUCAGUUGGAUCAGUACUUAUUGAUGUCUGAUAUAGAACUUGGACAGUCACUCGUGGUUAGGGAAUACAAUGUAAUCCAAGUUAGCGUCCAUCUUUGUUUCCAUGGAGAAGCUACUUUCUGCUCUCUGGAGGAUCUGAAUGGUUAAAACUGGGAGCCACCAUUAAGUAUGAUAACUGGGACGACCUCUGAUAGAGUACCUGUGCUGACUUUAAAAACGAACUACAGUAAAAAUUACUGCAGAUGAUCACAAUUUUUAAACAGAAGAUCAAUGCAGAGGAUUGCAGAUUUCAU
rnacentral:lncRNA from 1 species